GACGAACGCUGGCGGCGUGCUUAACACAUGCAAGUCGAACGGAAAGGCCCUGCUUUUGUGGGGUGCUCGAGUGGCGAACGGGUGAGUAACACGUGAGUAACCUGCCCUUGACUUUGGGAUAACUUCAGGAAACUGGGGCUAAUACCGGAUAGGAGCUCCUGCUGCAUGGUGGGGGUUGGAAAGUUUCGGCGGUUGGGGAUGGACUCGCGGCUUAUCAGCUUGUUGGUGGGGUAGUGGCUUACCAAGGCUUUGACGGGUAGCCGGCCUGAGACGGUGACCGGCCACAUUGGGACUGAGAUACGGCCCAGACUCCUACGGGAGGCAGCAGUGGGGAAUAUUGCACAAUGGGCGGAAGCCUGAUGCAGCAACGCCGUGUGCGGGAUGACGGCCUUCGGGUUGUAAACCGCUUUCGCCUGUGACGAAGCGUGAGUGACGGUAAUGGGUAAAGAAGCACCGGCUAACUACGUG
rnacentral:rRNA from 1 species